AGUAAUCUGGCGGCCGAUGGUUCUGCGUGCGCACGCGUCACGCGGAUGAAAAGGGAACAGGGUGCGGCGACUCUCGCCAAGGCCCUGGCUGCCCCCGCAACUGUAAGCGGCGAACGACACCCCUUGUGCCACUGACGAUGGUCGGGAAGGCGGGUGAAGUGGCAAGCCGUGAGCCAGGAGACCUGCCAUCGCUCACGGGCGUAUU
rnacentral:ncRNA from 1 species